rnacentral:rRNA from 1 species
CAGCAGCCACGGGAAUACGUAGGGUGCAAGCGUUAUCCGGAAUUAUUGGGCGUAAAGAGCUCGUAGGCGGUUUGUCGCGUCUGCUGUGAAAACUGGAGGCUCAACCUCCAGCCUGCAGUGGGUACGGGCAGACUAGAGUGCGGUAGGGGAGAUUGGAAUUCCUGGUGUAGCGGUGGAAUGCGCAGAUAUCAGGAGGAACACCGAUGGCGAAGGCAGAUCUCUGGGCCGUAACUGACGCUGAGGAGCGAAAGCGUGGGGAGCGAACAGGAUUAGAUACCCCCGUAGUCCCUGUCUCUUAUAC